CCUGGGACAGUUGGUGGCACUCUGUGAGACUACUCUGAGACCAGUCCUUUCCAUCAUGGGCUCCUGUGGAAAAUGACCCCAGCUCAGCUCAGUAGUUGAUGGGACAUCUGAUUCAGGUUGGACCCAGCCCAGACAUCUGAUUCAAACAAUAUUCUUCUCCAGGAAUUUUGUAACCAGCACUGGUAAAGGGAGGGAAGUGCUCCCC
rnacentral:lncRNA from 1 species